GUGCCAGCCGCCGCGGUAAUACCGGCAGCCCAAGUGAUGGCCGAUAUUAUUGGGCCUAAAGCGUCCGUAGCUGGCCGAACAAGUCCGUCGGGAAAUCCACGUGCUUAACGCGUGGGCGACCGGCGGAAACUGUUCGGCUUGGGGCCGGAGGACCCGAGGGGUACGUCCGGGGUAGGAGUGAAAUCCCAUAAUCCCGCACGGACCACCGAUGGCGAAAGCACUUCGAGAAAACGGAUCCGACAGUGAGGGACGAAAGCCAGGGUCUCCAACCGGAUUAGAAACCCGAGUAGUCC
rnacentral:rRNA from 1 species